rnacentral:rRNA from 1 species
AGGAAAUAGAUACCCGGGUAGUCCACACCCUAAACGAUGCAUACUUGGUGUGAGCCAUUCAUUUGGUUCGUGCCGGAGCUAAACGCGUUAAGUAUGCCGCCUGGGGAGUACGGUCGCAAGGCUGAAACUCAAAGGAAAUUGACGGGGGCCCGGCCACAAGCGGUGGAGCAUGUGGUUUAAUUUACGACGCAACGCGAAGAACCUUACCUGGGCGUCGAACGGCGUUAAGAACGACUUGGUAACAGAGUUUCCCGUCAAGGGACGUUGAGUCGAGGUGCUGCAUGGCUGUCGUCAGCUCGUGUCGUGAGAUGUUGGG